rnacentral:rRNA from 1 species
GAUGAACGCUGGCGGCGUGCCUAAUACAUGCAAGUCGAGCGAACGGACGAGAAGCUUGCUUCUCUGAUGUUAGCGGCGGACGGGUGAGUAACACGUGGAUAACCUACCUAUAAGACUGGGAUAACUUCGGGAAACCGGAUCUAAUACCGGAUAAUAUUUUGAACCGCAUGGUUCAAAAGUGAAAGGCGGUCUUGCUGUCACUUAUAGAUGGAUCCGCGCUGCAUUAGCUAGUUGGUAAGGUAACGGCUUACCAAGGCAACGAUGCAUAGCCGACCUGAGAGGGUGAUCGGCCACACUGGAAGUGAGACACGGUCCAGACUCCUACGGGAGGCAGCAGUAGGGAAUCGUCCGCAAUGGGCGAAAGCAUGACGGAGCAACGCCGCGUGUGUGAUGAAGGUCUUGGGAUCGUAAAACUCUGUUAUUAGGGAAGAACAUAUGUGUAAGUAACUGUGCACAUCUUGACGGUAACUAAUCAGAAAGCCACGGCUAACUACGUG